rnacentral:rRNA from 1 species
GAUGAACGCUAGCUACAGGCUUAACACAUGCAAGUCGAGGGGAAACGACAUCGAAAGCUUGCUUUUGAUGGGCGUCGGCCGGCGCACGGGUGAGUAACGCGUAUCCAACCUGCCCACCGCUUGGGGAUAACUUUGCGAAAGUAAGACUAAUACCCAAUGACGUCUCUAGAAGACAUCUGAAAGAGAUUAAAGAUUUAUCGGUGAUGGAUGGGGAUGCGUCUGAUUAGCUUGUUGGCGGGGUAACGGCCCACCAAGGCGGCGAUCAGUAGGGGUUCUGAGAGGAAGGUCCCCCACAUUGGAACUGAGACACGGUCCAAACUCCUACGGGAGGCAGCAGUGAGGAAUAUUGGUCAAUGGACGAGAGUCUGAACCAGCCAAGUAGCGUGCAGGAUGACGGCCCUAUGGGUUGUAAACUGCUUUUAUAAGGGAAUAAAGUGAGAGUCGUGACUCUUUUUGCAUGUACCUUAUGAAUAAGGACCGGCUAAUUCCGUGCCAGCCGCCGCAGUAA